CAAUAGCGUAUAUUAAAGUUGUUGCGGUUAAAAAGCUCGUAGUUGGAUUUCUGCUGAGGACGACCGGUCCGCCCUCUGGGUGAGUAUCUGGCUUGGCCUUGGCAUCUUCUUGGAGAACGUAGCUGCACUUGACUGUGUGGUGCGGUAUCCAGGACUUUUACUUUGAGGAAAAUAGAGUGUUCAUGGCAGGCCAAUUAGGCUUGAAUACCUCAGCAUGGAAUAAUAGAAUAGGACUUCCGGUUCUAUUUUGUUGGUUUUUGGAGCCGAAGUAAUGAUUAAUAGGGAUAGUUGGGGGCACUCGUACUCCGUUGUCAGAGGUGAAAUUCUUGGAUUGACGGAAGACGAACAACUGCGAAAGCAUCUGCCAAGGAUGUUUUCAUUGAUCAAGAACGAAAGUUAGGGGAUCGAAGACGAUCAGAUACCAU
rnacentral:rRNA from 1 species